rnacentral:rRNA from 1 species
GUGCGAUAAGGGGACCCCAAGUGCGAGGGCAUAUAGUCCUCGCUUUUCUCGACUGUAAGGCGGUCGUGGAAUAAGAGCUGGGCAAGACCGGUGCCAGCCGCCGCGGUAAUACCGGCAGCUCAAGUGAUGACCGAUAUUAUUGGGCUAAAGCGUCCGUAGCCGGCCACGAAGGUUCAUCGGGAAAUCCGCCAGCUCAACUGGCGGGCGUCCGGUGAAAACCACGUGGCUUGGGACCGGAAGGCUCGAGGGGUACGUCUGGGGUAGGAGUGAAAUCCUGUAAUCCUGGACGGACCACCGAUGGCGAAAGCACCUCGAGAAGACGGAUCCGACGGUGAGGGACGAAAGCUAGGGUCUCGAACCGGAUUAGAUACCCGGGUAGUCCUAGCUGUAAACGAUGCUCGCUAGGUGUGGCACAGGCUACGAGCCUGUGCUGUGCCGUAGGGAAGCCGUGAAGCGAGCCGCCUGGGAAGUACGUCCGCAAGGAUGAAACUUAAAGGAAUUGGCGGGGGAGCACUACAACCGGAGGAGCCUGCGGUUUAAUUGGACUCAACGCCGGACAUCUCACCAGCUCCGACUACAGUAAUGACGGUCAGGUUGAUGACCUUACCACGACGCUGUAGAGAGGAGGUGCAUGGCCGCCGUCAGCCGUACCGUGAGGCGUCCUGUUAAGUCAGGCAACGAGCGAGACCCGCCUUCUAAUUGCCAGCAACAGUUUCGACUGGUUGGGUACAUUAGAAGGACUGCCGCUGCUAAAGCGGAGGAAGGAACGGGCAACGGUAGGUCAGUAUGCCCCGAAUGAGCUGGGCUACACGCGGGCUACAAUGGUCAAGACAAUGGGUUGCUAUCUCGAAAGAGAACGCUAAUCUCCUAAACUUGAUCGUAGUUCGGAUUGAGGACUGAAACUCGUCCUCAUGAAGCUGGAUUCGGUAGUAAUCGCAUUUCACAAGAGUGCGGUGAAUACGUCCCUGCUCCUUGCACACACCGCCCGUCAAAGCACCCGAGUGAGGUCCGGAUGAGGCCACCACACGGUGGUCGAAU